UUGCCCAAAAUAUCAUGAAUAGAUAUGGGGAGACAUUAUGAAAAAGUAUGGGUUAAACCAACUCUAGUUUCAUUCAGAUAUACAUAAACCUUGCUAUAUACUCUAUCCAAAACCAAAUCACAUUAACCUUGAAUCACCACCAUGAACGAGUGCCACUCCUAGCCAUCGAGCCCAACGCAAAACCACUAGCACUACCGCCACCAUAAGCCGCAAACGACCACUGCACGUCCACCUCCUUCAGCCAUCUUCACCGCUUCGCGUACACAAUCCGUUGUUGCCCUCCGUCGUCCAGAUACACGCACGCACCAACGACGUUGGCGUCUCUUUUGUCGGAGCCAACACCACCGUAACGGUACCACUCGUCUCGUCCUUCGAUUUUGCAAGGUUCAUGUAAGUUUUGAGUACGACUCGAAUUGUGGAUUUUUGCUUUGCUUGCUAAACUAAGGGACGGAUUCCUAAUUCUGACAUCAUAGUAUUUUUAUCAUAUCCGUCACUUUGCAGUACGGAUUUUCGUGUGUUCCUGUUAACCGUUUGAUAUGUGAUGCGUUACCUGAAUCAGUAUGGAAUUGUGUAUGAUUAUUAGUG